rnacentral:snRNA from 1 species
GGGUGAUCUGGCUGCAACAUCUGUCACCCCAUUGAUCGCCAGGAUUGACUGAGCUGAUCUGGAUGGCUAUGUGUGUGUGUGUGUGUGUGUGUGUGUGUGUGUGUAUGUAUAUGUGUACAUAUAUGGUAUAUAGUAUACUACAUAUACAUAUACACACACGUAUACACACACAUAUGUGUGUAUAUACACGUAUACACACAUAUGUGUGUGUAUAUAUACACACGUAUACAUACACAUAUGUGUGUAUAUACACACAUAUGUGUAUAUAUGCAC